rnacentral:lncRNA from 1 species
CUCAUUUUAAUUUUAAAAAGGAAUUUAAGCUAACUUUGGAGGGCCAUUAAUUAUUUGUUAUCUAGUAUGGCUCAUCCCCACUAAUUAAAAAUGCUCAACUACCUAAACAUUAAUGGGCAAGGGUUCUACUUUGGUUCAAGCUAAGUGAAUACAUUGCAAUAAAGAAAGGAGCUAAUGGUUUAAAGUUAAAAUUUGGGCAUAGCAUGAGGCCCAAUAGCCCACAGACGUAAGGCCAUUUUGAAUUACCAAUUAGCGUCGGUCUAAGCUGGGCCCAAGAGAGCCCAAAUUGAUACAAGACCAGCUUCAGCAAGUGACGAGGUCCCUAGUUCGAAUCCAUACGUCAACACAGAAAGUCAAUCCUUUGCAUUUCAUUUUUUCAACUAUCAAACAAAAAGGGAAAACAAUGAAUCAUGACCGUUUUAAGACAUUAAACAAAUAUACACAUCAUUGUUUUAUCCUUCAAAAGACAAUUUAAUUUCUUUUGCUUAUUGAAUUAUUCUUAAGGCUAGUCCAAAUAAUUUGAGGGACGAGGCAUCAAGUGGCCAUUGUAGAGCCACAACCCCAAAGAUGAUUCUAUUGAGCUUCAGCAUUACAAACAAACCAAUAAUCAUGAAAUAACAAAAUACUUCAUACUCAAACACCAUUCAAUUGAGUUUCACAAGCUAUAACUACCAUUCCUUACCCAUAAACAGCUUACUCAAUAGUCUGUAUACUACUCAUCCCAAGUGACUUGAAAUCAACAAUUAACUUGCAAAACAUUAAGAGAUCCAAUAUAGCCUACUUUAUGCUCAAAUAGAAACUGAAUAGUAACCCAUUAACAUAUUCCCACUUAAAUACUAUAACAAGAACUCCAAACCCCUACAACUAAUUAGGAAGGUUUGCUAAGUAUAAUUUCAUAUCAGAAACAGAUUAAUUACAAUCCUCAUAAUAAACAUUCAAUACAUUAAAACACAAAAUCAUGUAAUUUAUACAAAAUAGAGCUAAAUUAGAAGACCAAGGGAUGCUAAAGCUGUCACGACCCCAGUUCCCCCUCCGUGAACAUGUUGUGAUGGUACAUAGUUCCUAUAACUAGGUAUGCUUAACAAUGCGAAAAACAACACAACUUGAGAAAAAAUUAAUUAAAACUGAAAAACUAAAAGAAAUCUAUAUAUAAUUGCCGCUCGGCAUAUACAACUCAAAAUAAAUGCGGAAGUCUACAUAAUACCCCAAAACUCGGAAACUCACCGGAACACAAGCUAACGAAAAGUCAUACGUGGCUCUAACUCCAUAAUAUCUAAAGCAAAAGUACAGAAGAAGUCCAAAUACUACAGAUAGAGUAAAGAAGGAGACUCCUGAGUCUGUGGACGCUGCAAAAGUACUUCAAAGUCUUUGUAGCUCUUCUGGCCUCAAGGAUAGUGCGCCUGAGAUGAAGUACCUGGGUUUGCACAUGAAAAACAUGUGCAGAAGAGGCAUGAGUACACCACAGGGUACUCAGUAAGCGCCAAACCUAACCUAGUUGGGUAGUGACGCGGAAGGUCAAGGACUACUGAGAUAAAAUAUAAUAAUACGGCUGACAGCAUUAUGAAAUAAGCAAAAAUAAUGGAAUACAACAGUGAAGUAAGUUAGGUUACACAAACAACAAUUAAUACACAGAGGAUAAGAUAACACAGAGUAAAACAGCUAAACGUCAGUACCAAUAACGAGGAUCUCCCAGGAUACCGUCAUGUAGUCCUUUUCAUAAAUAUGUCCGAGGAGCUCUUGGGAUACCGUCCCAUAGUCCAUUAUGUGAGUAUAUUCGAAGGAUCUCCCGGGAUAUUGUCCCAUAGUCCAACUAUCAAUGUGGGGGGAUCUACUGGGAAUCUAAUCCGUAGUCCCAAAGUAAAUAAGUAGGGGGAUCUACCGGGAAUCUAACCCGUAGUCCCAAAGUAAAUAUGCAGGGGGAUCUAUCGGGAAUCUAAUCUGUAGUCCCAAAGUAAACAAACAAGGGGGGGGAGCUACCGGAAAAUCCACAUCCGUAGUCCCAAUGUAUAUAUGCAACCACAACUAGAAGAUAAUCAAAAAUGAAGUAUGAAGGUACAACAACAGGUAGUGCUAGCCUAACAUGCUUCAGAUAGUAUAGUAAAGUCAACUUAAGCAAAUACGCGAUUUAAAUCAACCAAACAUGCUUUUCUAAUAUAGCACAGGUAAAAAUCGCAAGUAGGAAUGAGCAAAUUCUAAUGAACUCGGUCUCAAUAUCUUAAGUAAAAACUGGGUUUUCAACAAUUAGCUCAAGUACGCGCUCGUCACCUCACGUACAAGGCAUUCAAUUACCAUGUAUCAUAUCCUAAGGGAAAAGGUCCCCCACACAAGGUUAGACAGGCCACUUACCUCAACCGGCUACAAAAUCAACUUGAAAUCACUCUUUUCCACGAGUAUUCUACUCCAAAUGUCCCAAAUCUAUUCAUUUCAAUUAAAUCCUAUAAAUAACAUCUCAAGCAACUAAUUUUACUAUUUAACUUACAGCUAAGACGUAAAUUUAGGUAAAAUGACCAAAACACCCUCGACCAACGUGGUCAAAACCCGAGGUUCGGACCAAAAUCUGGUUACCAAUUCUCCCAUGAACCCAAGUAUAUGAUAUGUCUUGAAAUCAGACCUCAAAUUAAGGUCCAAAUCCCCAAUUUUUAGAAAAAUCUAGGUUCUACCCAAAACCUCCAAUUUCACCCAUGAAAAUCAAUGAUUUUAAGUUGAAAAUAUGUUAAAUGAUGUAAAUAAUCGAAAGAAUUAGGUAAAAAUCGACUUACAAAUGAUUUGGGAGAAGUUUUGUCCUUGAAAAAUUGUCUAUGGGGUUUGGGUCUUGAAAGAAUGGUGAAAAAUGGUGGAACUUCAACUAGGUAUGAAAUUGCUGAGUCUCUGAUGUCGCAAUUGCGAACUGGGGUUCACAAUUGCGAACCCCGGCCAAAUGUGGAAAUUGCGGAUACUUGUUUGCAUUUGAGAACUAUAAGGGAAGCUGGGAGGUUCACAUUUGCGAACCAUCGGGUCGCAUUUGCAAGCCCAAAGUCGCAUUUGCGAUAACUGUAGGCCUGGGACAUUCUCGCAUUUGCGAGCUGACCCUUUGCAAUUGCGAGGUCGCAUUUGCGAGCCAGGCUUCGCAAUUGCGAAGACUGCAGGUCAGUUACAGAUGCAAUUUUCCAAGUUCAAAAAUGCACUCUGACACCUAUCCAAAGCUCACCCGAGCCCUCGGGGCUCCAAACCAAAUAUGUACAUAACCUCAAAAACAUCUACGGACUUAUCCAUGAGAUCGAAUCGCCAAAAUAACAUCAUAUACAUCGAAUCAAGCCUCAAAACUCAUAAUUCCUUCCAAGUUUUCAUAAAUAUCAAACAUCCAUUUUAAGUUCGAAACACAUCAAACGACGUCCGUUUUCAACUAAACUUUACAGAAAGUGCAUAAACCACAUAUAAGACCUGUACCAGGCACAGGAACCAAAAUACGGGCCCGAUACCAAUGCGUUCUAAUCGAAUUUCAUUUCCAAUUUCCUUAAAUAUUUUCAGAAAAUAAUUUCACACAAAAAUUCAUUUCUCGGGCUUGGGACCUCGGAAUUUGACUCCGAGUAUAUGCCCAAGUCACAUAUUUUCUUGCGGGCCCUGGGGACCGUCAAAUUACGGGUCCGGGUCCGUUUACCCAAAAUGUUGAUCGAGGUCAAAUUUAUUCAACUUAAUAUAAAAGUUUAGCAUUUUUCUCACAGAAAUCAUAUCUAAGCUUUCCGGCUACGCGCCCGGAAUGCGCACAGAAAUCGAGGCAACCCCAGAUGAGGUUCUUAAGGCCUCAAAAGUAUAGAAUAUGUAAUAAAAUAAGUGAUGACCCCUUUGGGUGGUCAGAGAAGCCGUGCUCGAUAUUUUCACAUUUCGUUUCAUACAUUAAGUCAGACUUCACGCAUGGUUCAAAUUUUAGAAAAAUGUCUACGUGGAAAAGAAAAAUAAGAGAAAAGGAAGGAGAUCAGCAACAGAAAACAGUGUCUGCAGCACAAAUAAGCAAUGAAACUAGCUUUGAACCAAACUUUGAGCCAACAAAAUAACAAGUGAUGCCUAGUAAUAAAAAACAAAACUGAAAUUUGAACCAAACUCUUGAAAACCAACCCACACUCAAAUCAUUUUAACCCAUGAUGGUUUAGAGAUUGCUCCAGAAGUGAGAGCCUCAAGAAUUGCAAAACUAUUCUAUGGAACAGUGAUUUUCUAAUUUUUUUCAGCCGUUUUGAUUUUCUGUAUUUUCUAUCUCUGAAUCUCUGCCUUGAAUAACAAGGAAUGAGUUGCCUUUAUAGGCAAGAAAAUAGGGCAACUAGCAGACCUCAAUUUUUGCAUUUAUGUCAUUUUCUAAUUUUUGUUUUUGCUUAACUGCCCUUAGUUCAAAAUCAGAAUUUCAAAGCAAUCCCCCUCCCCAGCUUCCUAAUCUGUUACAUAAGAUUCAUAUACCUGAAUUACCCCAAAUUACCCUUGAACCCUCUGAAAAUUACAUCAAAAAUCCUAAGGGGUCCAAUUGACCCACAUAUAUAAGCCCAAUUAAACAGGCUACAUUUGCAAGGGAAUCAACAACAAUUAAAAGCCCACAUUAACAUUAGAACCCCUAAAUUCUAUAGGCCUCCGAAAAAUCGGAAUGAUCCAAUUAUUGAAAUAAUUUUUCAUAAAUAAAAACGUAAACUAAAUCACUGUUUUAAUUAACACAAAUAAAAGAAAUCAAUUAAACUAAUGAACUACUUAACAAAUGAAGAACAUAUUCCUAAAUGACCAUGCAUGAAUAGAUACACUACGGGACAGAAUAAACUAAACAAGAAGAAGAAAGGAAAUAAAGAAUGGAUAAAGAAUCACUAAAGGAAAUAUUAAGGAGAUACCUACUACAGUUCGGACCAUGAAGAACAAGGAUCAAACUUCAAACCUAAGGAUUUCCGGUCAAAUUUGAUACUAAUCGCAUGUUCUCGUAGAGAGUAAAAGAACAACAUCACAUUAGACCUAAAUAAUCUGCAGAAUCUUGAUUUGGAUUUUAGGGUUCAUCUUGUGAUUCAAGAUUCGAGGAGUUCCUUUAAGAUGAGAGGGUAACGGAUUUUGGAUUAAGGAAUAGGGGGCCAUGGUGGUCAAGGGGUGUAAUUUUUGUGGGGAUGGGGACAGGCGCCGCCAUCCCAAGGCGGUGGAAAAAAAGGGUGGUGGGCUAGGUGUUAGGUAUUUGGUCUCUGAGAAAGGGACUGAGGAAGACGAAAGACAGUGGGUAUGAAGGGCUAAGACACUGAUAUAUUAAACACACCUCAC